AAGCUGCCGUCUCCGCCCACCCCCAAACAAUCUCGACAGCGCAUUUCGGGAGCCACGGCUCCGGGCGCUUUGCUGGGGGCUAAAGGGGUUUAUCCCUUUCCUUGAAUCCCAGCAGGCUAGAACUACCCCCUCCCAGUCUUCAGGCUUGCCACGCUCUCCACCCGAUCCUUCCAUUGAAAGGCAGAGAAGGAAGGAUGUGCUUGGGAACUUUAAGACCCACGAACGACAGCGCACUGAUGGAGCAGCCCAGUGUCUGGGGCAAAGUCCUCGAGGUUCAUUCAUUCAGGAAGCCUCUGACCAGCCUUUACCAUGCGCUGAGUGAGAAGCUGAGGAUAAGGAAAGAGCAAGACCCCCAAGAAACCCUGAUGUCUGGCUGAAAGCCGAAGCAUGACGCAACUUUGCUAUAUUUCUCUCCAACAAGGAUUUGUAUAUUUUCGCUUUCUCCUCAAGUAACACCUGGACCUGCUCCUUUCCCUUCAAACGCUGAGGGCUCAGUCUCCAAGUUCCUUUAUGAAACAGGGUGUACCAUCAGAGACGCAGGUAUUUAUUGAAACCUGCUUUGUGCUGGGCAAUGUGCCAGAUGUUGGGGAUAAAAUGGUGAGCAGACAGAUCCUGUGCCUGUCUUUAUUGAGCUUGGAGCCUAGAGACUUCAGAAAUGAAGAUGCAAAGACAACAGGGGAAACCAUAUAUGUUUAUGGACAGUCAUGCCAAAGUAUGAUUGGAAGACAAAAAGAUUUUUGGCCAAUUCACUGCUCACUAACAUCUCCAUCAAAGGGUAACUGGGUUGGGGCACCGGGUGUGGGAAGGAGAGGAAGGAAACGAGAAUCGGCAGUUUCCAUUACCUGCUAGCAACUCUGGAAAAACACACAUUGUAAAAUAAGAAUUCUUCAAAGACAACUUGAAGACAUCUGGGAAUUCUGAAGCCUGAAAAUUCCAUGAGUUCAUAGCAGUGUUCACUAAUUCCACUGAUCUAAAGACAAAAAGGAGAGUCAACUGCGUGCCCAAACUCAUUUCUGAUGAUUUCUUCCAUCCUAACUUUUCUGCCUCUCUGGGGGUGGUUAUGCCUGUGAAAAACAUUGAAGCUGUCAGGAACAGAGUCGGCUUUCAAGAUUGGAAUGUCAAAGUAGAGUCUUCUUUUCCUCAGACCAGAAGGGGCUUGGUUGGGUAAGAGUUUCCAGAUCUAAAUGGAGACAGGACUGGGAUAUAGGAGCUUGUACGGAUAAACAACACAAACACCUUGGGUAAGUGAUACACCAAGAGAGAUCAAAAUAGGGUAGGAACACGAUCCUAAAGCUAUGUGAGAUACGAAGCCAAGAGACCCUGUCUACAGGCUGAUAUGUAUUGCAACCAGAGGCCACCUACACUCAAGAAAAUUCUAAAUGAUGUAAUAGGUUGUGGACACUUUCUUGUAAAAAUGAUCGAUAUUUUUUUCUUAUAGGGAUAAAGCUUAAAAGCAUGGGAUGUAUCUCCAUUAGGAAAUAUGAAGUGAGUUGGUAUAUUACAGGUAGGUUAGACUGAGAUAAUUAUAAAACUGGGCUGAUUUUACAUAGAGAAGAACUUGAUUCCUAAAGGUGUUGAAGGACAAGAUGGGGACAGUUAUUGAAGUGUUCAGGUGCUGUCCUUUGUAGUCUGUAGCCUAUUAAAAUAAUACACAACUGAACACAGACCCAAGGAAAGGGGUUCUACUCAUCGCUAGAAUGUAAACUCUAAGAAGAUAAGGAUUUUGUCUGCUUCAUUUAUUACUGUAUUCCCAGCUCCUAAAAGAGUGUCCAGCACUUAGUAUCUGUUGGUAAGUACCUGUUGAAUUAAUUAACCAGUGAUGAGACUUUGGAAAGCAGCUAGUCCAUCUGUAAGAUUGUUUUCUCAUCUGUGAGAUGAGUCAGUUAGAUUAGAUGUUUUCUAAGCUUAUUCUAGUUUUAAAAUUGUAUAUUUCUAUAAGAAAUGAUAAAUGAAAAAUGUCCAUUCCUUUUUCAUCUCCAUCACCCAUCUCACAUCUUCCUUCAGUGCCUAUGUGAUCUGUUUGAGUAUAACCAGGUGUACAAAAGUACUAAGUGAUAUGAGAUGACUUCAGUAGUCCAGGGACUCUUUCUUCCCCCACUCUGUAAAGAGUUAUUUGCUUAAUUUAAUGUACAUUAUAAAAACAGAA
rnacentral:lncRNA from 1 species